GAUGAACGCUGGCGGCGUGCCUAAUACGUGCAAGUCGAGCGAACGGACGAGAAGCUUGCUUCUCUGAUGUUAGCGGCGGACGGGUGAGUAACACGUGGAUAACCUACCUAUAAGACUGGGAUAACUUCGGGAAACCGGAGCUAAUACCGGAUAAUAUUUUGAACCGCAUGGUUCAAAAGUGAAAGACGGUCUUGCUGUCACUUAUAGAUGGAUCCGCGCUGCAUUAGAUAGUUGGUAAGGUAACGGCUUACCAAGGCAACGAUGCAUAGCCGACCUGAGAGGGUGAUCGGCCACACUGGAACUGAGACACGGUCCAGACUCCUACGGGAGGCAGCAGUAGGGAAUCUUCCGCAAUGGGCGAAAGCCUGACGGAGCAACGCCGCGUGAGUGAUGAAGGUCUUCGGAUCGUAAAACUCUGUUAUUAGGGAAGAACAUAUGUGUAAGUAACUGUGCACAUCUUGACGGUACCUAAUCAGAAAGCCACGGCUAACUACGUG
rnacentral:rRNA from 1 species